rnacentral:rRNA from 1 species
UGAGGAAUUUUCCGCAAUGGGCGAAAGCCUGACGGAGCGACGCCGUGUGUGCGACGAAGUCUUUCGGGAUGUAAAGCACUGUCAGAGGGGACGAUAUUGACUGUACCCUCAGAGGAAGGCCCGGCUAACUACGUGCCAGCAGCCGCGGUAAUACGUAGGGGCCGAGCGUUGUCCGGAAUUAUUGGGUGUAAAGGGUGCGUAGGCGGUUGAUUAAGUCAGGUGUUAAAUCUACAGGCUCAACCUGUAAUCGCAUUUGAUACUGAUCAGCUAGAGAAUGGUAGAGGAAAACGGAACUUCCGGUGUAGCGGUGAAAUGCGUAGAUAUCGGAAGGAACACCAGUGGCGAAGGCGGUUUUCUGGGCCAUUUCUGACGCUGAGGCACGAAAGCCAGGGGAGCAAACGGG